GUGAGAGGUAGUAAGGUGGUUAGUAGCACUGGGUCGGUCUUCUUGCCGGUGUCUUCUGAGGUUCCUCCCUCAAGGGCACAGGUAUUGGGGCAUUUGACCAGGGUGCGGCGCGUUGUGUCGGGGCAUGCGGUGCCGGGAGCCCAACAGUACCAGAAAUGGAGGCCUGCUGUCGGUUACUCGGUUAUCAAUGUCACGGCCGACCCCUAAGGUGGUGGAGACGUUUAUAACUCUCCUCCGGGGUCGCGUUCUCUGGGGGACCUGCAUACGGCCUGGAUCGUAUGGGGGCCCCUGGCCGGCCGGUCUGGUGUAGCGCUAAUCACUCUUGACUUCGACUCGGACGCCUUGCGUCGGCUACUGUUAGGGGACUGCCAGUAGUCGGCCAAUCACGGAGGUGCUCUGGGUCUGGUCAAGAUCUCUCGACACAGCUUAGCCGUGAGCACUCUUCGGUGCAGGGCAAACGCGUCCUGGCUCCUUGGAAGGGGACUCGAGGAGAACUCUGCUUCAAGCCGGAAAGUCCGGUGAAACGCCGAGGCACAGUUUGACUCUGAGAAUCCGACCCGGAGGUGGACCCUCUUCGGAGGGUCUUUGGAACGUUUGCCUCCCGUGCCGACGGGUGUCUCUCAUGCGGCAACCAGUACGCAGCCAAGGCGGCGUUGUCUUCUUCGGAGGGCACGCUGCCCUUGGCUGUCCACACUGUUAAAACCUGUAGCAACUAAGGCUCAGCGAGCCGCACUUGAAAAACGCGAGGGUUCCGGCCCUCGCGCAACGACAGGACCACGCCGGAUGAGUGGGUUGCAAGUGACUCCAGAUCGCCCGUGCCUUUGGCUCUGUAACUCGUUAACAGCGAGGAGGCAGUGACUAGGGCGAAAGGGAAUCAGAUCUGAGAGUAACUCUUCCCUCGCCGGCGUGACGUCCGGGCCUUCGGGCCGCUAAAGCAGAACUGAUAUAUUUAUAUCUUGCGGGAGGAAACCGGGGCUCACGUGGUCCCAGCUCCCACCACGACGGUGCCGCCCAUCCCAUUGAGGAAGUUUCUCGGUUCCCUUGCAAAAGGGUCCCGUAUUCCUCUCUCGGGGCUAAGGGCGGUGGAGACCGUCACGGGAUUUUUUGAAGGGUUGCCCUCGACUCGCUCCGUGCGAGCAGGGGGUUCCCUCAAAGACCCACACUUAUCUGGUUGAUCCUGCCAGUAGUCAUAUGCUUGUCUCAAAGCUUAAGCCAUGCAAGUCUCAGUGCAAACUUAAUUAAAGUGAAACCGCAAAAAGCUCAUUAAAUCAGUUAUGGUUUACUGGCGCAUCCAUUUUUAUGGAUAACUGUGGUAAUCCUAGAGCUAAUACAUGCAACACAAGUCCUGUCCAGUAAUGGUAGGGACGCUUUUAUUAGGUCAAAACCAAUCGGUACGGCUCGUUCCGUUCCGUCUCUUUUUGACGACUCUGGGUAACCUGAACGAUCGCACGGUCCUCGUACCGGCGACGCACCUUUCAAAUGACUGACUUAUCAACUGUCGAUGGUAGAUUUUUUGUCUACCAUGGUUGUAACGGGUAACGGGGAAUCAGGGUUCGAUUCCGGAGAGGGAGCCUGAGAAACUGCUACCACAUCCAAGGAAGGCAGCAGGCACGCAAAUUACCCACUCCCGGCACGGGGAGGUAGUGACAAAAAAUAACGAUACGGGACUCAUCCGAGGCCCCGUAAUCGGAAUGAGUACACUUUAAAUCCUUUAACAAGGAUCCAUUGGAGGGCAAGUCUGGUGCCAGCAGCCGCGGUAACUCCAGCUCCAACAGCGUAUAUUAAAGCUGUUGCGGUUAAAAAGCUCGUAGUUGGUUCUGUGUGCCACGCUGUCGGUUCACCGCCUGCCGGUGCAACUGACAUGUCGUGGGAUGUCUUGCCGGAGGGGGCCGAAACCCUUCCCUAGUGUUGGGCCUAGGUCCUCGCAAUGCUGCCAGGGUGCUCUUUACCGAGUGUCGGGGCAGGCCGGCAAGAUUACUUUGAACAAAUUAGAGUGCUUAAAGCGGG
rnacentral:rRNA from 1 species